rnacentral:tRNA from 1 species
GCGGUAGUAGCUCAGCCGGUUAGAGCACAAGAUUGUGGUUCUUGGGGUCGGGGGUUCGAGUCCCCUCUAUCGCC